CGGGUGCUGCUAGCGGAGGCGCCAUAUUGGAAGGGACAAAACUCCGGCGACAGCGAGUGACACAAAUAAACCCCUGGACCCGUUCGUCUCCGCAGCACUCAGGGCCGCGAUGUUGUACCUAGAAGACUAUUUGGAAAUGAUUGAGCAGCUUCCGAUGGACCUGCGGGACCGCUUCACGGAGAUGCGCGAGAUGGAUCUGCAGGUGCAGAAUGCAAUGGAUCAACUAGAACAAAGAGUCAGUGAAUUCUUUAUGAAUGCAAAGAAGAAUAAACCCGAGUGGCGAGAAGAACAGAUGGCAUCCAUCAAAAAAGUAAGUGCAAUGCCUUCGAUGAUUGUCAGUCACAUGGGGACCCUUUGGAAGGGAUAUUAAAAUUAGGGAGAUACCUGGAUAUGGGGUGAGAG
rnacentral:lncRNA from 1 species